UGCAAGAUGAAUUGGAAGAUGUUCCAUGGAAUCAAAGAAUGCAGGAGGGAAUAUUCUUUCCAAUUUGCAAAGAAUAAAUGGAAUAUUUUCCUCCAACUUUCUCAAGGAAUCUGCCUUGAGCGUCGUAGCGCACAAAUCCUUGAAGAAAUGACUGAUUUCUAUAAGUGGAUUUAACACGUGCAUGGGCAAACAGCUAAAUGCAACAGGGAUNANAGUUUCCAUAAAAACA
rnacentral:lncRNA from 1 species